rnacentral:lncRNA from 1 species
AUGAUCUUGGAGGUCUUUCCCAACCGUAAUGACUCCACGAUUCUUCCCCCCUCAGCUACAAUCCCUUGCUGUUUCCCCCACCCAUCCCCGCAUCCCGCACGGCCGAAGGGCCCUGCUGCUGGCCGUGUGACCGCUACUUCCCUCACGCUCUCCCCGUGUCCCCCUACACCCUGCCUUCUGCCCCCAACCCCAGCAGCCCGUUUCGGGGCGCGGGCAGGACCGCGGCGGCACAUGCGGGGAGCCCCGGAGGCGGUCAGGACGAGGGGGGAACGGGGCUGUUCCCCCAGCACCUCGCCGGCUCCGUCCCAAACCCCCGCCCGGAGCGGCUCCCCCUCAGCCGCCGGGGCUGCCCCGGGCGAUGGCGGCGGCGGCCCCGGGCGGAGGAAGGAGGGGGCCCGGCGGGCGGCAGGGGGAGGCCGGCUUUGCUGCGAGGGAGGGGCCGGCACGGCGGCGGGGCCGGCGGUCUCCAGGCGGCAGCGAGGAGGAGGAGAAGGAGGAGGAGGUGAGCUCCCUCGGGGUGGGGAGAGCUCCCCUGACCCAUCCUGCAGCACGGGGGAAGAGGAGAGCAGGUGGCCUUCCUCUGCUCCAGCUGGAGCCUUUCUGAGGGGACUGCACUUACGCAGCCCCAAACAGGAAGCAGCAGCAUCUGAAGAAAGAAGGAAAGAAAGAGAAGCUUAG